UUCUUUAUAAUAAACAAACCUGACCUCUUUCGCCUCGGUGCGGCGCCUCUUCCUCCUCCUCCUCCUCUUGUCUCCUCUCUCCAACUUCUCUUCUUCAUUGUUGAAUCGUUGCAUCUCUUUAAUUAAGAAAUCAGUGUCGGAAAUUGAUUAAACUCCGAACUCGCCCCUCUCCUCUUGAUCCGUCAACGUGAGGUCGUCAAGGGUAAUCGUGUUGGGCGAACACUAAGCAAGGAAGGUUGUGCCACUGUUCAGUAAGGACACAACAGACAAAUGAAGGUGGUGUGUGUUUAUAAACAGAUGAAGAAUCACUAAAUAAAAUGAAAGGGGAAUUUCAGAUUUUCAAGAAACUGAAAUUUGGUGAAAGUGAUCUUGGAUGGAACGAGAUGAAUAAGAUAAUUGUGGAUACAUGCUAUACAGUAAACAAUGAAGAAAGUGCUCCGAAAAAACUGAACUCUACUUCUGGGAGGCUUAUAUUUACAGUGAGAACUAAGUACUUGCACAAUACAACAAAUGUCUAGAAUACUCAGAAACUUCUAUACGACAGCCGGAGGCACGGUUCACAGGCUGGACCCAUACUUUGCGGUAAGCCAAUACUAAGAGCUGCUGUUCCAUCUCUGUGCACUCCUCAUAUGCAGAAAGCUGAGAAACAUGUUGCUAGGGCCCUGGAGAAGGCUGGCCUUAGUGGCCAUUCGACCAGCAAGCUUGGACUCCAGUUACAUGUUAUAGUUGCAGAAUUUGUUAACCAGAUUCAAGCAAAAAAGAAGAGUAGCUGGGGAAGUAAAGAGGGAGUCUCUGCUGCUGAACUAAAGCUUGAUGCUGAGAAUUGGAUGCUUGGAACUGCAUGGAAUCUUGUUUUUGCAAUAGUUGUUGUAUAAACUGCUGUUGCAGAAUAUCUUCCUGCUUACUGUCCAAUCGAGGUUUCUUCUGCACAUGAGAAGCAUUAAAUUGAUCAUGAACGAAUCUGGGAGCAUUUUGAAGUGGCGCUUGCCCUGUAUCUUCAGUAGGCAAGGACGUGAAAUUUGAAGCCCCUUGCUGCAGCUGCUUUUGUUGCAUCAGUUGAAAUUUUGAGUCUUGACUGGAGUAUUGAUGCACUGCGGACAACCCAUCAAUGAAUGAUGUUCCUGACAUGCUUGUAUUGUUGGAUGAGAAUGACAUGGGUGAAGCUGGUAAACGCAUGUAAGAAUCUGUACUGAUGCUUGCACUUCUCUGCAGAUUAGGCCCUCCAGAAACUAACGAACUUUCCCCAACACUGGGCCCAGAGCUUCUCACUCUGUUCAGCAUUGUAUUACUUGCAUCCCCAGAAAAUUGUCCCAAGUUAGGAUGCAUGCUGCCAGCAAGAGAAUUCAACGAGUUCCCGAAAGCUGUAUUCAUGUUUGUGUUUUCCAAUGUAUUCUACUCUUGGAAGAGAAUUCCAGAACUUGAAGAAGAAUGUGAUCCGCCUCCAGCCAUCCGAGAAGCCGCCAUUUGCCUCCCUGAUUUUUUGUGGCCGGAGUCCAAUAGGCACCUGAGAUUUCCUGUCUAGAGAGAAGAGCUGGUACUGCGUAGUUAAAGAAAGAAAGGUUAGUAUGCGGAAGAGAUUUGUGAAUCAUAGUCUCCGUCCCACUGUAUUCUCGGUUUUUUUUUUAAGGAAAAUAGAUUUUUUUACCCUCCAACUUAUUAUUUAUUUAGAAACAUACCACUCAACUAUAAUCUUUUUCUUUUUCGUCACUAAUGUUAGGUUCGAAUUUUUUUUGUCA